rnacentral:rRNA from 1 species
AGAGUUUGAUCCUGGCUCAGGACGAACGCUGGCGGCAUGCCUAAUACAUGCAAGUCGAACGCUGAAGCUCUCUGCUUGCAGAGAGUGGAAGAGUGGCGGACGGGUGAGUAACACGUGGGGAACCUGCCCAUGAGAGGGGGGUAACAUCCGGAAACGGAUGCUAAUACCGCAUAAUUAAAGAAACCGCAUGGUUUUUUUAUCAAAGAUGGCUUCGGCUGUUGCUCAUGGAUGGCCCCGCGGCGUAUUAGCUAGUUGGUAAGGUAAUGGCUUACCAAGGCGAUGAUACGUAGCCGACCUGAGAGGGUGAUCGGCCACACUGGGACUGAGACACGGCCCAGACUCCUACGGGAGGCAGCAGUAGGGAAUCUUCCGCAAUGGACGAAAGUCUGACGGAGCAAUGCCGCGUGAGUGAAGAAGGUUUUCGGAUCGUAAAGCUCUGUUACUGGAGAAGAACACGGGUAAGAGUAACUGUUUACCCUUUGACGGUAUCCAGUCAGAAAGUCACGGCUAACUACGUGCCAGCAGCCGCGGUAAUACGUAGGUGACAAGCGUUGUCCGGAUUUAUUGGGCGUAAAGCGAGCGCAGGCGGUUUUUUAAGUCUGAUGUGAAAGCCCCCGGCUCAACCGGGGAGGGUCAUUGGAAACUGGAGAACUUGAGUGCAGAAGAGAAGAGUGGAAUUCCAUGUGUAGCGGUGAAAUGCGUAGAUGUAUGGAGGAACACCAGUGGCGAAGGCGACUCUCUGGUCUGUAACUGACGCUGAGGCUCGAAAGCGUGGGGAGCAAACAGGAUUAGAUACCCUGGUAGUCCACGCCGUAAACGAUGAGUGCUAAGUGUUGGAGGGUUUCCGCCCUUCAGUGCUGCAGCUAACGCAUUAAGCCUCCGCCUGGA